GUUACUGCUACUGUGGAGGAGCCACACAACAUCCCCCUGGCUUUCAGAGGAUAGGGUAGUGCUGUAAGUUCUACUAAAAGAUAGUGACAGGAAACCCCUUAAAUGCUUUAGUCGUUCAACAGGAAGUUGGAGAAAACAUCUAAAGGUCUUAUGGUCUCAUUUAAAGGCUACUUCUGCUCCACAACAAGUUUAUAAUCAGGAGUUGUCCUGCAGAAAGAAAAGGAAAGUACAACAAGUAAUAAGAAAGUCACUAGCUAGCUAGCUUAGAGGCUGGAAGGCAGAAGACCUUUCCAACAUGUUAAGAUCCAAAAGAGUACCUUCUAGUAUUUGUUUUGAUGAUAUUUGCCUGUAACCGAGCAACUCGGCCCAGAUGCCAGGAGCCCAAAGAGAACGCUGCUGAUGACUGGUGUAGGAAAAGCAAAAGAAUUCCCUUUGUGUUCUUACUUGUAUGAUUCUUCUCAAGUGGCAUUCACUGGGAGUUAUCUACCAUGUAGCCUGGUGACAUUUCGCCCUGUGCCAACAGAACUCUGGUUUUGUUUGGAAGCAGCAACAUGUCAGUUCCCAGAGGAUGGCAGACCAAAAGUUCGUCUUUUGCUACACGUGCAAUUUUCCCUGCUCCAUUUGCUACUUAAGUUUACCAAAUGUGUGGUAAGAGAAAGUUUAAUAAAUUUUACUCCU
rnacentral:lncRNA from 1 species